rnacentral:piRNA from 1 species
UAUCAUGUGUGCCUUGAGAGAGAACCC